UACGUAGGAUGCUAGCGUUGUCCGGAUUUAUUGGGCGUAAAGAGCUCGUAGGCGGCUUGGCAAGUCGGGUGUGAAACCUCCAGGCUCAACCUGGAGACGCCACUCGAUACUGCUAUGGCUAGAGUCCGGUAGGGGACCACGGAAUUCCUGGUGUAGCGGUGAAAUGCGCAGAUAUCAGGAGGAACACCGGUGGCGAAGGCGGUGGUCUGGGCCGGCACUGACGCUGAGGAGCGAAAGCGUGGGUAGCAAACAGG
rnacentral:rRNA from 1 species